rnacentral:rRNA from 1 species
UACAGAGGUCUCAAGCGUUGUUCGGAUUCAUUGGGCGUAAAGGGAGCGUAGGUGGCGGGGUUAGUCAGGUGUGAAAUCUCGGGGCUCAACCCCGAAACUGCACUUGAUACUGCCUUGCUAGAGUACUGGAGAGGAGAUUGGAAUUUACGGUGUAGCAGUGAAAUGCGUAGAUAUCGUAAGGAAGGCCAGUGGCGAAGGCGAAUCUCUGGACAGUUACUGACACUGAGGCUCGAAGGCCAGGGGAGCAAACGGG